rnacentral:rRNA from 1 species
GAUGAACGCUGGCGGCGUGCUUAACACAUGCAAGUCGAACGAAGAGCGAUGGAAGCUUGCUUCUAUCAAUCUUAGUGGCGAACGGGUGAGUAACGCGUAAUCAACCUGCCCUUCAGAGGGGGACAACAGUUGGAAACGACUGCUAAUACCGCAUACGAUCUAAUCUCGGCAUCGAGGAUAGAUGAAAGGUGGCCUCUACAUGUAAGCUAUCACUGAAGGAGGGGAUUGCGUCUGAUUAGCUAGUUGGAGGGGUAACGGCCCACCAAGGCGAUGAUCAGUAGCCGGUCUGAGAGGAUGAACGGCCACAUUGGGACUGAGACACGGCCCAGAAUCCUACGGGAGGCAGCAGUGGGGAAUCUUCCGCAAUGGACGAAAGUCUGACGGAGCAACGCCGCGUGAGUGAUGACGGCCUUCGGGUUGUAAAGCUCUGUUAAUCGGGACGAAAGGCCUUCUUGCGAAUAGUGAGAAGGAUUGACGGUACCGGAAUAGAAAGCCACGGCUAACUACGUG